rnacentral:rRNA from 1 species
UGUGUAGGCGGGUAUUUAAGUCAGUGGUGAAAUCUCCGGGCUCAACCCGGAAACUGCCAUUGAUACUAUUUAUCUUGAAUUCUGUUGAGGUGGGCGGAAUAUGUCAUGUAGCGGUGAAAUGCAUAGAGAUGACAUAGAACACCGAUUGCGAAGGCAGCUCACUAAACAGCUAUUGACGCUGAGGCACGAAAGCGUGGGGAUCAAACAGGAUUAGAUACCCUGGUAGUCCACGCCCUAAACGAUGAUUACUCGACAUACGCGAUACACAGUGUGUGUCUGAGCGAAAGCAUUAAGUAAUCCACCUGGGAAGUACGACCGCAAGGUUGAA